UACAGAGAGCGCGCCCAAGCC
rnacentral:piRNA from 1 species